AUGAACGCUAGCUACAGGCUUAACACAUGCAAGUCGAGGGGCAGCAUGGUCUUAGCUUGCUAAGGCCGAUGGCGACCGGCGCACGGGUGAGUAACACGUAUCCAACCUGCCGUCUACUCUUGGACAGCCUUCUGAAAGGAAGAUUAAUACAAGAUGGCAUCAUGAGUCCACAUGUUCACAUGAUUAAAGGUAUUCCGGUAGACGAUGGGGAUGCGUUCCAUCAGAUAGUAGGCGGGGUAACGGCCCACCUAGUCUUCGAUGGAUAGGGGUUCUGAGAGGAAGGUCCCCCACAUUGGAACUGAGACACGGUCCAAACUCCUACGGGAGGCAGCAGUGAGGAAUAUUGGUCAAUGGGCGAGAGCCUGAACCAGCCAAGUAGCGUGAAGGAUGACUGCCCUAUGGGUUGUAAACUUCUUUUAUAAAGGAAUAAAGUCGGGUAUGGAUACCCGUUUGCAUGUACUUUAUGAAUAAGGAUCGGCUAACUCCGUGCCAGCAGCCGCGGUAAUACGGAGGAUCCGAGCGUUAUCCGGAUUUAUUGGGUUUAAAGGGAGCGUAGAUGGAUGUUUAAGUCAGUUGUGAAAGUUUGCGGCUCAACCGUAAAAUUGCAGUUGAUACUGGAUAUCUUGAGUGCAGUUGAGGCAGGCGGAAUUCGUGGUGUAGCGGUGAAAUGCUUAGAUAUCACGAAGAACUCCGAUUGCGAAGGCAGCCUGCUAAGCUGCAACUGACAUUGAGGCUCGAAAGUGUGGGUAUCAAACAGGAUUAGAUACCCUGGUAGUCCACACGGUAAACGAUGAAUACUCGCUGUUUGCGAUAUACAGCAAGCGGCCAAGCGAAAGCGUUAAGUAUUCCACCUGGGGAGUACGCCGGCAACGGUGAAACUCAAAGGAAUUGACGGGGGCCCGCACAAGCGGAGGAACAUGUGGUUUAAUUCGAUGAUACGCGAGGAACCUUACCCGGGCUUAAAUUGCAGAUGAAUUACGGUGAAAGCCGUAAGCCGCAAGGCAUCUGUGAAGGUGCUGCAUGGUUGUCGUCAGCUCGUGCCGUGAGGUGUCGGCUUAAGUGCCAUAACGAGCGCAACCCUUGUUGUCAGUUACUAACAGGUUCCGCUGAGGACUCUGACAAGACUGCCAUCGUAAGAUGUGAGGAAGGUGGGGAUGACGUCAAAUCAGCACGGCCCUUACGUCCGGGGCUACACACGUGUUACAAUGGGGGGUACAGAGGGCCGCUACCACGCGAGUGGAUGCCAAUCCCAAAAACCUCUCUCAGUUCGGACUGGAGUCUGCAACCCGACUCCACGAAGCUGGAUUCGCUAGUAAUCGCGCAUCAGCCACGGCGCGGUGAAUACGUUCCCGGGCCUUGUACACACCGCCCGUCAAGCCAUGGGAGCCGGGGGUACCUGAAGUGCGUAACCGCGAGGAGCGCCCUAGGGUAAAACUGGUGACUGGGGCU
rnacentral:rRNA from 1 species